rnacentral:pre_miRNA from 14 species
UUCUCAUUCUGAAAGACCCCCUGAGUGAGGAGACCCUCACUCAAGUCUCGGGAUGAUGCAACCCCCCAAGAACUCACACAAGACC